AAAAGCACUCAACAUCAUGCUUAAAACUGGUCUCUUUCGCCCCUCCUUCCCCCUCCGUCGUCUCAGUAGCAUUAUUUCAGGCAGUCAUCAAGCAGCUAUGAAAGUCAGGCCUGAAAGAGUUCGGGUCUCCCUGGGCGCUUGUCCUGUGAGAAGGGGUCCAAGACCGGCCGACUCCAGAGUCUGAAUGAGCCCCUUCUCGAAGGAGAAGCUGCCUGGCACUUAACCACAGGGGCCACCUCUACGGGUUUCUUUGGAAAAGCACAACAAAGCCUUUUACAAAACCUUCCAAACACAUUCACACCCAUUUUUUAAAGAGCACAAGUUGAUGGAAGAGGGCCCCGCACAGGUGUCCCCGCCCUGUGGUGGCCAGAAGUUUGGGGUGGGGGGCACUGCGGGCCUGGAGUGAAGCCUGCUCCCUGCCCGGGCAGUUCGAGAGGCAGGCUGACCAGCCGGCCUGGCCCAGACCGGGGCGGCAGGGCCUUUCCAGGCUGCACCUGACGCACACCAACACACCAGGUGCAGUGUACGCGGCGCCAGCAUCACCCACACCCUCCUCGUUGCCAGGCCACCACCAGGCUGAAACCGCAUCAGAGCAAGACACGGACCUGGCAGCGACCGGCCCCUCCCAGACUGCAGAGACCAAGUGGCACGUGUGACAAACGUGGCCGUGCCCUCUUCCCUGGUGACCUCUGUGCACGCUACACGGGCCUGUAACAUAAACCGGUAGGACCGCUGGUCAGCUCGCUGGUAGGCAGGGAAGUCUGCGUUUAGUCGCCGCGCCUCAUGGGCCUACGAGGGUCAAAGAUACCCCGUCUGGUUCUCCACCGGCGGCUGAGCUCUCGGGCCCCGCAGACCCCUCGUCAGGCGGCGGGAAUCCUGCUGGGACACGGGCUGUGGACAGGGACCCUGAUGUCCAGAGGGCCUGCGGAGACCUGGGCGGGGCCUCAGUCUGCUGUGUCCGUCCAGCCUUGCCCUCCGCACACCCAGGCCCCUCCCUGGCUGUGCCCUGCAGGGCAGCCCUGCCGUCCAUCCCUGCCGUCCAUCCUGGGCCUGGACCCUGCAGUUCACCUGCUCUUGUGGGCCUGGAGGAUGCUGAGGACUGCGGCCUGUGCCCUGCCUGCCGACCAGCUCAGGGCCGGCCCCCAGGAAAGGAUGUGACCAACGCUUGCUGAAUACAUGCCGUGAGGACACAGGUGGCGAGCCUGCUGCUGCUCCGGCUCAGCCACGUUCACGGCCACGGAGCCCCCCCGCCCCCACCAGGUGCUGGGGGCCGAGCGGACCCAGCUGACCGUGAGGGGACGGGCAAGGCACCCAGCACGAGUGUCCACACCAGGGCCACCGCCAGCCCCGGGGACACGGGCUCUCCGCAGAUGGGGACCCUCCCCUGGCACAGCAGUCACGGAAGUCACUGUCGUCAGGCGUCACCGAGGGGUUUUCAGUGACUGGCUUGUGUAAAAAGGACCCUACCAUGGCCAUACUCACUGUACAAACAGGACGGAGCCACCUCAGCGACCCCAACAGGGAAGGAUGGGGGGUGGGGGGCGCGUGGCUCCAUCUCCCGGUGGCCACACUGGCAGCUGUGCUGCCCUCGAGGGAAAGCAGGCUUCCCGCCAGCUCAGGCCCAUGACCCGCCAACUCCGCCCUCUGUUCCAGAUCCCCGACCCCUCGGCACUGCAGCACCACAGCCGGGCUGACACCCACUUAUCACCAAGAGGCGGUGGCACUGCUGCCCCGUCCCAGACGGGCAGACUUGCUUGGUGAGGCUGUCUGCCCGAGAUACGGGGCGGUGGGGGAAGGCAGGUUGAUGGCGAGAAACCCACCACACUUCCUGCAUCUUAGCAACGGCUGACACUCUGCGAUCAGCUGCACACCUGGCCAUCAGCGCCGGAAGGUGCAGAACCAGGAGAACAUUCUAGAAGGAAGAGCUGGAGGAGCGGCCGCAGGAAUGAAUCCAGGCUUGGUCCACAACUUGGUGCAGGACGAUCCAGAAGCUCCGGGCCCCGGACCAGCCCUGGCUUCUCCCGGCUGACGCCCGGCUGCUGUCAGACAAUCCUUUUCGGCGCGGCGGAGAGCAGCGACACUCGCGGAGCACAACACAGACGGCGGGCACCAUCGUGCCAAGGCACACGUUCUGUCC
rnacentral:lncRNA from 1 species